rnacentral:rRNA from 1 species
CCUAAUACAUGCAAGUCGAGCGGUGGUAGCAAUACUACAGCGGCAAACGGGUGCGUAACGCGUAAGCAACCUGCCUCAAACUGGGGGAUAGCCUGGCGAAAGCCGGGGUAAGCCCGCAUGGUCUCUAGGAGUCACCUGGCUUUUAGGGUAAAGAUUUAUCGGUUUGAGAGGGGCUUGCGUCUGAUUAGCUAGUUGGGGGGGUAACGGCCCACCAAGGCGAUGAUCAGUAGGGGUUCUGAGAGGAUUGGCCCCCACAUGGGCACUGAGAGACGGACCCAACUCCUACGGGAGGCAGCAGUAGGGAAUAUUGGGCAAUGGGCGAGAGCCUGACCCAGCCAUGCCGCGUGCAGGAUGAAGGCGCUCAGCGUUGUAAACUGCUUUUAUCAAGGAAGAACGAUGCCCUUGCGAGGGUAUGUGACGGUACUUGAGGAAUCAGCACCGGCUAACUCCGUGCCAGCAGCCGCGGUAAUACGGAGGGUGCAAGCGUUGUCCGGAUUUAUUGGGUUUAAAGGGUGCGUAGGUGGUGGCUUAAGUCUGAUUUGAAAGCCGGCGGCUCAACCGUCGGAUGUGGUUGGAAACUGGGUUACUUGAAUGCGGGAGCGGUAGCUGGAACGGGUCAUGUAGCGGUGAAA